rnacentral:rRNA from 1 species
AACGAACGCUGGCGGCAUGCCUAACACAUGCAAGUCGAACGAGACCUUCGGGUCUAGUGGCGCACGGGUGCGUAACGCGUGGGAACCUGCCCUUAGGUUCGGAAUAACUCCCCGAAAGGGGUGCUAAUACCGGAGAAUGUCUUCGGACCAAAGAUUUAUCGCCUUUGGAUGGGCCCGCGUUGGAUUAGCUAGUUGGUAGGGUAAAAGCCUACCAAGGCGACGAUCCAUAGCUGGUCUGAGAGGAUGAUCAGCCACACUGGGACUGAGACACGGCCCAGACUCCUACGGGAGGCAGCAGUGGGGAAUAUUGGACAAUGGGCGAAAGCCUGAUACAGCAAUGCCGCGUGAGUGAUGAAGGCCUUAGGGUUGUAAAGCUCUUUUACCCGGGAUGAUAAUGACAGUACCGGGAGAAUAAGCUCCGGCUAACUCCGUG